rnacentral:rRNA from 1 species
UACGUAGGCAGCGAGCGUUGUUCGGAGUUACUGGGCGUAAAGGGUGCGUAGGCGGUUGUUUAAGUUUGGUGUGAAAUCUCCCGGCUCAACUGGGAGGGUGCGCCGAAUACUGAAUGACUAGAGUGCGGGAGAGGAAUAGUGGAAUUCCGUGGUGAUAGCGGUGAAAUGCGUAGAUAUCAGGAGGAACGACCGGUGGGCGAAGGCGG